rnacentral:rRNA from 1 species
CUAUGUGGCCAUACCAGCCUGUCAUUGCCCGAUCCCGUUAGAUCUCGGAAGCUAAGCAGGUCUGGGCCUGGUUAGUAGUUGGAUGGGAGACCACUGUGGGGUGGCAGUCGCUGCAGUGG